UACGGAGGAUUCGAGCGUUAUCCGGAUUUACUGGGUUUAAAGGGUGCGUAGGUGGAAUGACAAGUCAGUGGUGAAAACCUGCAGCUUAACUGUAGAACUGCCAUUGAUACUGUUAUUCUUGAGUGUAUUUGAUGUAAGUGGAAUGUGUCAUGUAGCGGUGAAAUGCUUAGAUAUGACACAGAACACCCAUUGCGAAGGCAGCUUACAAAACUACAACUGACACUGAGGCACGAAAGCGUGGGGAUCAAACAGG
rnacentral:rRNA from 1 species